rnacentral:rRNA from 1 species
GAUCAACGCUGGCGGCGUGCAUAACACAUGCAAGUCGAACGAUGAAGAUUAAAAGAUUUCUUCGGAAUGAACUUAAUUGGAUUAGUGGCGGACGGGUGAGUAACGCGUGAGUAACCUGCCUUGUACAAGGGGAUAGCCGUUGGAAACGACGAAUAAUACCCUAUGACAUCAAAUAAUCGCAUGAUAAUUUGAUCAAAGAUUUAUCGGUAUAAGAUGGACUCGCGUCUGAUUAGCUAGUUGGUAGAGUAAAGCCUACCAAGGCAACGAUCAGUAGCCGGCUUGAGAGAGUGUACGGCCACAUUGGGACUGAGACACGGCCCAGACUCCUACGGGAGGCAGCAGUGGGGAAUUUUGCACAAUGGGGGAAACCCUGAUGCAGCGACGCCGCGUGAUUUAGAAGGCCUUCGGGUUGUAAAAAUCUUUUGUAUGGGAAGAAAAUGACAGUACCAUACGAAUAAGGACCGGCUAAUUACGUG